AAUUCGCCCUUCGGGGCGCACCAGGCGCGAAAACUCUACAAUGCAGGCAACUGCGAUAGGGGAACAUCGAGUGAUCCUCAUAUUGGGGGUCUGUCCCACCGUCUAAAAAACGGUGGUUAGCAAGGGCCGGGCAAGACCGGUGCCAGCCGCCGCGGUAAUACCGGCGGCUCGAGUGGUGGCCGAUAUUAUUGAGUCUAAAGGGUCCGUAGCCGGCUUUGCAAGUCUCUCGGGAAAUCCAGCGGCUUAACCGUUGGUCGUCCGGGGGGUACUACAUUGCUUGGGACUGGGAGAGGUAGGAGGUACUCAGGGGGUAGGAGUGAAAUCCUGUAAUCCUCUGGGGACCACCGGUGGCGAAGGCGUCCUACCAGAACAGGUCCGACGGUGAGGGACGAAAGCUAGGGGCACGAACCGGAUUAGAUACCCGGGUAGUCCUAGCCGUAAACGAUGCUCGCUAGGUGUCACAACAGUCGUGAACUGUUGUGGUGCCGUAGGGAAGCCGUGAAGCGAGCCACUUGGGAAGUACGACCGCAAGGUUGAAACUUAAAGGAAUUGGCGGGGGAGCAC
rnacentral:rRNA from 1 species